UCAAAAACAUGUCCUUUUGUUUUAAAUAUAAGGUCUAGCCUGCCCAAUGAUUAUUAAUUUAAUGGCCGCGGUAUAUUAACUGUGCUAAGGUAGCAUAAUCAUUUGUCUUUUAAUUGAAGGCUAGAAUGAAUGGUUGGACGAGACACAAACUUUCUUUAAUUUAAUUUAUGAAUUUAAUUUUUUAGUUAAAAAGCUAAAAUGUAUUUGAGGGACGAGAAGACCCUAUAGAUCUUUAUAUAAUUAACUAUUAUAUAUUUUAGUAUAUUAAUUAUUUUAAUAGUUAAUUAUAUUUGGUUGGGGUGACUGUAGAAUUUAAUUUAACUUCUAUUUUUUCUUAUCAUAAAUUAAUGUUUUUUUGAUCCAGUAUAUACUGAUUAUAAGAUUAAGUUACCUUAGGGAUAACAGCGUAAUUUCUUUUGAGAGUUCAUAUCGAUAAAGAAGUUUGCGACCUCGAUGUUGGAUUAAAAUAAAUCUUAGGUGCAGAAGCUUAAGAAUUAGGUCUGUUCGACCUUUAAUUUUUUACAUGAUCUGAGUUCA
rnacentral:rRNA from 1 species